rnacentral:rRNA from 1 species
UACGGGGGGGGCAAGCGUUGUUCGGAAUUACUGGGCGUAAAGCGCACGUAGGUGGCUUUGUAAGUUAGAGGUGAAAGCCCGGGGCUCAACUCCGGAAUUGCCUUUAAGACUGCAUCGCUAGAACGUCGGAGAGGUAAGUGGAAUUCCGAGUGUAGAGGUGAAAUUCGUAGAUAUUCGGAAGAACACCAGUGGCGAAGGCGACUUACUGGACGACUGUUGACACUGAGGUGCGAAAGCGUGGGGAGCAAACGGG